rnacentral:rRNA from 1 species
GGCGAACGCUGGCGGCGUGCUUAACACAUGCAAGUCGAACGGAAAGGCCCUGCUUUUGUGGGGUGCUCGAGUGGCGAACGGGUGUGUAACACGUGAGUAACCUGCCCUUGACUUUGGGAUAACUUCAGGAAACUGGGGCUAAUACCGGAUAGGAGCUCCUGCUGCAUGGUGGGGGUUGGAAAGUUUCGGCGGUUGGGGAUGGCCUCGCGGCUUAUCAGCUUGUUGGUGGGGUAGUGGCUUACCAAGGCUUUGACGGGUAGCCGGCCUGAGAGGGUGACCGGCCACAUUGGGACUGAGAUACGGCCCAGACUCCUACGGGAGGCAGCAGUGGGGAAUAUUGCACAAUGGGCGGAAGCCUGAUGCAGCAACGCCGCGUGCGGGAUGACGGCCUUCGGGUUGUAAACCGCUUUCGCCUGUGACGAAGCGUGAGUGACGGUAAUGGGAAAAGAAGCACCGGCUAACUACGUG